UACGGGGGGGGCAAGCGUUGUUCGGCAUUACUGGGCGUAAAGGGCUCGUAGGUGGCCAACUAAGUCGGACGUGAAAUCCCUCGGCUUAACCGGGGAACUGCGUCUGAUACUGGAUGGCUUGAGUUCGGGAGAGGGAUGCGGAAUUCCAGGUGUAGCGGUGAAAUGCGUAGAUAUCUGGAGGAACACCGGUGGCGAAGGCGGCAUCCUGGACCGACACUGACGCUGAGGAGCGAAAGCCAGGGGAGCAAACGGG
rnacentral:rRNA from 1 species